CGCUGGCGGCGUGCUUAACACAUGCAAGUCGAGCGAUGAAGCUUCCUCGGAAGUGGAUUAGCGGCGGACGGGUGAGUAACACGUGGGUAACCUGCCUCAUAGAGGGGAAUAGCCUUCCGAAAGGAAGAUUAAUACCGCAUAAGAUUGUAAUAUCGCAUGGUAUAGCAAUUAAAGGAGCAAUCCGCUAUGAGAUGGACCCGCGUCGCAUUAGCUAGUUGGUGAGGUAACGGCUCACCAAGGCGACGAUGCGUAGCCGACCUGAGAGGGUGAUCGGCCACAUUGGGACUGAGACACGGCCCAGACUCCUACGGGAGGCAGCAGUGGGGAAUAUUGCACAAUGGGGGAAACCCUGAUGCAAGCAACGCCGCGUGAGUGAUGACGGUCUUCGGAUUGUAAAGCUCUGUCUUCAGGGACGAUAAUGACGGUACCUGAGGAGGAAGCCACGGCUAACUACGUGCCAGCCGCCGC
rnacentral:rRNA from 1 species